UUGGUCUUUCUCAAGUCCUUCAUCUCAAAUUAUUUCUUUAAGCAAUCUAUAGCUUUUGGAAGCUCUUCAGGAGUUCCAAUUAAUGACAUGUUGCGAAAGUAUAAUGAAGGUUUACUCAGCAGAGGUUUGUGAUUUUAGAUACUUUAAAGUUUGUUUGUUUUGAUUUUGCGAAUUGUGUUGUGUGAGUGCUUUGUGAUUGAUUUUGUUUGUUUUGAGGUAAGUUGAUUGUGAAGCUAUGUCCUGUUUGUUAUUAGCAUAAGUGCAUAAACUAUAGGCCUGUUUGGAUAAAGACGCAUUUACAGUUU
rnacentral:lncRNA from 1 species